CUACGGGGUGCUGCAGUGAGGAAUAUUGCACAAUGGGGGGAACCCUGAUGCAGCAACGCCGCGUGGAGGAUGACGCAUUUCGGUGUGUAAACUCCUUUUAUAUGUCAAGAAAAUGACGGUAGCAUAUGAAUAAGCACCGGCUAACUCCGUGCCAGCAGCCGCGGUAAUACGGAGGGUGCAAGCGUUACUCGGAAUCACUGGGCGUAAAGGACGCGUAGGCGGGUUGGAAAGUCAGGUGCGAAAUCCUACAGCUUAACUGUAGAACUGCACUUGAAACUUCUAAUCUAGAGUAUGGGAGGGGGAGAUGGAAUUAGUGGUGUAGGGGUAAAAUCCGUAGAUAUCACUAGGAAUACCUAAAGCGAAGGCGAUCUCCUGGAACAUUACUGACGCCAAGGCGUGAAAGCGUGGGGAGCAAACAGGAUUAGAUACCCUUGUAGUC
rnacentral:rRNA from 1 species